rnacentral:rRNA from 1 species
UAAAUAGCCAGGUUGACUUUUGUCGGCCGCCGGCUUCUUAGAGGGACUUUUGGCUCAAGCCAAUGGAAGUACGAGGCAAUAACAGGUUAACCUUUUUUGAGUUAUAACGCUCAUCACAGGCCUGCAACAGUGAACCUCGUUAAAGAAAUCACUAGUUGAGCGUCUUUAUCCCUCUGGUGGAAGUCCACCAACUGUCGGGGAGGGAGCAGCCACGCCAGUGGAUGGUGACGCCAGCGAGACAAUCUGGUUCAGGGGACGCUU